rnacentral:rRNA from 1 species
GACGAACGCUGGCGGCGUGCCUAAUACAUGCAAGUCGAACGCUGAAGGAGGAGCUUGCUUCUCUGGAUGAGUUGCGAACGGGUGAGUAACGCGUAGGUAACCUGCCUGGUAGCGGGGGAUAACUAUUGGAAACGAUAGCUAAUACCGCAUAAUAGUAGAUGUCGCAUGACAUUUGCUUAAAAGGUGCAAUUGCAUCACUACCAGAUGGACCUGCGUUGUAUUAGCUAGUUGGUGAGGUAACGGCUCACCAAGGCAACGAUACAUAGCCGACCUGAGAGGGUGAUCGGCCACACUGGGACUGAGACACGGCCCAGACUCCUACGGGAGGCAGCAGUAGGGAAUCUUCGGCAAGGGACGGAAGUCUGACCGAGCAACGCCGCGUGAGUGAAGAAGGUUUUCGGAUCGUAAAGCUCUGUUGUAAGAGAAGAACGAGUGUGAGAGUGGAAAGUUCACACUGUGACGGUAGCUUACCAGAAAGGGACGGCUAACUACGUG